GCUGCUACCAAGAGAGCCACCAAGAUUCCCCCAAGAUGAAGGGCUUCCUCUUCCUCCUACUCACCAUCAGUCUCCUGGUUAUGAUUCAGGAGGCAGCUUUCACAGUGUCCCAUGUGCCCUGAGGGCACUAGUCCCGGUAGGAGACCAGAGCCAUCAAGUUCUUGAUCAAGAACAGCUUGAUCAAGCAUCAAGAACAGCUUGAUCACCAUCAAAAACAGCUUAAUCUCCAUCAAGAGCAGCUUUAGUUGCAGCCCGGUCAAGCACUGAGAACAGUUUGAUCAACCACCUGGUGCUUUCCUCCAGCAAGAGGUCACACAUUCCCCACCUCCGCACCCACCCACCCGUUGCCAGAUACAGACCGGAGUCCUGGGAAACACCACCACCGCCGCCACCACCACCAAGAAACCCAAGAGUGCGACCCCGC